rnacentral:rRNA from 1 species
CUACGGGAGGCAGCAGUGGGGAAUAUUGCGCAAUGGGGGAAACCCUGACGCAGCGACGCCUCGUGAGGGAUGAAGGCCUUCGGGUUGUAAACCUUUGUCAGAAGGGAAGAAUGGUUGAUGGUCCAAUAGGCCGUUGAUUUGACGGUACCUUCAGAGGAAGCACCGGCUAACUCCGUGCCAGCAGCCGCGGUAAUACGGAGGGUGCGAGCGUUAAUCGGAAUCACUGGGCGUAAAGCGUGCGUAGGCGGCCCAAUAAGUCAGGUGUGAAAGCCCUCGGCUCAACCGGGGAAUUGCACUUGAAACUAUUGGGCUUGAGUCUCGGAGAGGGUGGCGGAAUUCCAGGUGUAGGAGUGAAAUCCGUAGAUAUGUGGAGGAACACCAGUGGCGAAGGCGGCCACCUGGACGAGUACUGACGCUGAGGUAAGAAAGCGUGGGUAGCAAACAGGAUUAGAUCCCCUGGUAGUCCACGCUGUAAACGAUGGAUGCUAGGUGUCGGGGAGUUCAUCUUCGGUGCCGAAGCCAACGCAUAAGCAU